AAUUGCUGAAGCAAAGAAUAUAUACGUUGUUGGGGCCAAGAUCCUGAUACCAGCGCGAAAGCCUCCAGUCCAAUCCUGUCUGUAGCACAGAAGUCUUCCUUUUAGAUCAUUCUUAAUCCCACGAAACGGAAAAAAUGUUUCCUCCAUUUUGAGUGGAAUAUUUUGUGAACAAGAAGGUUCGUGAAUGGAUUUCCCCCCCUUUUCUUUUGAGAUAUUAAGAGUAUGAGAGUGGAAGUAACAUUGAAAAGACAAACCAAAAUGGUAACAUGUAAGCUAAACCAUAAUCAAGUUAACAGGACUCGAGAGGCCAACAUGAUGGUUAAGAUUUCAUACUAAUAAUUCGGGAUGUCCUAUGGACAGAAAAAAAAAAA
rnacentral:misc_RNA from 1 species